rnacentral:rRNA from 1 species
UACGUAGGGUGCAAGCGUUAAUCGGAAUUACUGGGCGUAAAGCGUGCGCAGGCGGCUAUGUAAGACAGAUGUGAAAUCCCCGGGCUCAACCUGGGAACUGCAUUUGUGACUGCAUAGCUAGAGUACGGUAGAGGGGGAUGGAAUUCCGCGUGUAGCAGUGAAAUGCGUAGAUAUGCGGAGGAACACCGAUGGCGAAGGCAAUCCCCUGGACCUGUACUGACGCUCAUGCACGAAAGCGUGGGGAGCAAACAGG